rnacentral:rRNA from 1 species
AUUGAACGCUGGCGGCAUGCCUUACACAUGCAAGUCGAACGGCAGCACGGGAGCAAUCCUGGUGGCGAGUGGCGAACGGGUGAGUAAUGUAUCGGAACGUGCCCAGUCGUGGGGGAUAACGUAGCGAAAGCUACGCUAAUACCGCAUACGAUCUAUGGAUGAAAGCGGGGGAUCGCAAGACCUCGCGCGAUGGGAGCGGCCGAUAUCAGAUUAGGUAGUUGGUGGGGUAAAGGCCCACCAAGCCUGCGAUCUGUAGCUGGUCUGAGAGGACGACCAGCCACACUGGAACUGAGACACGGUCCAGACUCCUACGGGAGGCAGCAGUGGGGAAUUUUGGACAAUGGGCGCAAGCCUGAUCCAGCAAUGCCGCGUGCAGGAUGAAGGCCUUCGGGUUGUAAACUGCUUUUGUACGGAGCGAAACGGCUUUUUCUAAUACAGAGAGCUAAUGACGGUACCGUAAGAAUAAGCACCGGCUAACUACGCGCCAGCAGCCGCCGUAACAC